rnacentral:rRNA from 1 species
GACGAACGCUGGCGGCGUGCUUAACACAUGCAAGUCGAACGGAAAGGCCCUGCUUUUGUGGGGUGCUCGAGUGGCGAACGGGUGAGUAACACGUGAGUAACCUGCCCUUGACUUUGGGAUAACUUCAGGAAACUGGGGCUAAUACCGGAUAGGAGCUCCUGCUGCAUGGUGGGGGUUGGAAAGUUUCGGCGGUUGGGGAUGGACUCGCGGCUUAUCAGCUUGUUGGUGGGGUAGUGGCUGACCAAGGCUUUGACGGGUAGCCGGCCUGGGAGGGUGACCGGCCACAUUGGGACUACGAGACGGCCCAGACUCGUACGGGAGGCAGUAGGGGGGAAUAUUGCACAAUGGGCGGAAGCCUGAUGCAGCAACGCCGCGUGCGGGAUGACGGCCUGCGGGUUGUAAACCGCUUUCGCCUGUGACGAAGCGUGAGUGACGGUAAUGGGUAAAGAAGCACCGGCUAACUACGUG